rnacentral:rRNA from 1 species
AAAGACUCUCGGCAACGGAUAUCUCGGCUCUUGCAUCGAUGAAGAACGUAGCGAAAUGCGAUACUUGGUGUGAAUUGCAGAAUCCCGUGAACCAUCGAGUCUUUGAACGCAAGUUGCGCCCGAAGCCAUUAGGCUGAGGGCACGCCUGCCUGGGUGUUGCAC